rnacentral:sRNA from 1 species
GUAAAUUAGGGGUGACCCCCAGUAAUUGUCAAAGCCAAAUAAAAUAACCAUAGUCUGAAUCUCUCGUUCAUUUGUAAGCUAGUCAUGGAUACGUUUGAAUUGGUUCAGCUACAGAGAUCCUCCUGCCUCUGCCUCCUAGUUCUGGGGUUAAAGCUGUGUCACCAGGACUGGCCUUUAUUAUUUUAACAAUAGAAACAGUCCACAGCCUUGUACUUUUUGUUGUCGUCUCGUUGUUCCCAAGUCCCCAUUCUGUUUUGUACCAUUGGUGAGCUCUCAGCACCAGGGCUGCACAGCCCUGUGUCCUGUCACGAGGCUUGUGCGCUUGUGCGGAAGUACGAUAGAAGGAGGGAGACCAGUGACAGGGAGAGAGGUUGGGAGCACCAGACACUGGGGAUGAGGGAGGAGGAAGGAGCUGGUGUAGGGAGCAUAGCUUCUUUUUGGUGCUGACUGGGAACCUGCCCAGACCUUCAGAUGGAUGAAUUCUGCAAGGUGAUGGGGGCCGUCACCCAGCCCCACCGCUCACUUGUCUGUGGACGUAUAUUCCGGUAAAUAUAACAGCCUCCUUCGUGGCUGGUUGUAAAGAUUCAGUAAGAAAACAGGUGAAGUAUGGAGUCUGAAUCACCACUAGUAAAAUCACUCCUCAGUCCAGGCCCCUCACCCCAGAGACCUGAAGUCACCACCUCCCCGAGUCCAUCCACACCACCUAUAGCGAGUGGCUAUACACUAGUGGCUCCUCCCUUUCCUCUCCAGUCACAGGGCUGUUCUGUCACCAGGCUGGCAGCAAGUGCCUCAUCCUGCUCCUACAUGCAAAUCUGACGCUGUCUGCUGUCUAUGUGGAAGGAUGCAGCAGCUCGCCCACAGCUUCCAAGAGGAAGCUCAAGGUCUUGACUGAGUACCCAAGGUCCCCACAUCUGGCUUCACCCCACUCCCCACCUCCAUUCCCUGCACUUUGCGGCUGUAAGGAAGAACCCAGGGACCUUUCUGUCUGCCUGGAUGUCCCUGUCUUUGUGGUACCGCCUCACCUUAGAUUAAGGUUCAGGGGGCUACUCCUCCUCAAAUCCUCCCAGGUACCAGUGUGACUUAGGUGAUGGCCCACAGCAGCCUGUGACCAUCCUGUGACUUUCUUGUUUUCUACUCAUCCUCUCAGACUGGCUUCCCUGCUUUGAGCCCUGAAUCAGGGCAGCUGCAUUCACACCCAGGACACGAAGACCCCAUAGCCCCAUAACUGAGCAAGCCAACACCCUGCGGGCCACCGAGGCCCCAGAAUCAGAUCUACAUUGAAUUUCCAUAUCUACACUCAAGCUAACAGCUUUGCCCAAGCUUUCAGAUAGGGUGCAUACACUGAGGAAAGCCAGGGCAGGGCAGACCUGCCGCUCUAACACACUACGUUCCGGAUUGGGGCAGAGGGAGUAGUGUGAACUAAAUGCUGGAUUAUUUGGGGGACUGACUCCUACUCCCCUCCGCUGAUCUGCACCCACCAGGAGCAAAAGCGGCUCCUCCCCUCCCAGGUUCUGGGAGACCACUGGAGCUAGGCCCCAGCAAUUGGGGACCUAGCCUGAUCCUAAAUAAGGAAGCCACAGGAGCAGAUCAAGUUUCCUGGAGUCCAGUGUUUACAGGUUCCCUGGACCAAACCAAACCCUCUCCCUAGCUGCUCUUGGCUUGCGGAAUAAGGAAAGGACAGCCGGGGCCCCUUCUGUGCCCCACCCCCUCCCUUCCAACCAGGCGCACCUCUCCCUCCCUCCAGGCUGCUCCCUGGCUGUCGCUGCAUUCCAAAGCCUGGGCGGCUCUUUGAGGUCACGCGGUGCAGUGUGGGUGGGAAAGCAGGAAGCCCCUAACCUAGCAGGCGGCCUUGACGCCCUACAGUGCUGCAGAUUCUGGCCCCUCCUCCCCCGAGCUCCCAAAGGCCAGCUUCGGUCUGGCCUCUGGCCGGCCAACAGGGGCAUAUUUACUCUCCUUGAGCCUGCUGCGAAUUUGUUGUUUGCUAACCACCUGUAAGCCUCUCUGUACCCCAGCCGUGGUUGGGUGGGAGUCAGGAGGGCACGCCUUCUGAAAGGACUGGAAUCUAGGCCCUUGGCCUGCAAAAUGCGCAGGGAAGUGAGAAGACUGGUUAAAGUCAGAUACUUAGCGAAAGCCAAGAUUGUCCUUGUCUAAAUCAGUAACCCUGUUAAGCCUGGUUGGAGGCCUCUGAAAGCUGUCUUAGGGUAGGGGACCAGGAAGCUGAGAGGAUCGAUCGGUCGGUUUCCUUCCAAAAUGGGUAGACAGAUAACAAGCAACUUACUUUGAUUUAGUGUAAACUUAGAAAAACCCUGCCCUGGAGUUGACCCAGGUCACAGGAAGUGUCCCUGGCUUCCGGGAAGGGUUGGAUGGCUAGACAGGAAUGGCUAGCUUGGGACUUGAACACCGCCUACUGCCUCAGGAGUAAAUUGUUCCUGGAGAGGAAGGAAGCCAGUGGACAGGGGAACGCUGUGCGGAGACCAGCACUCUCGAUAUCCAUGCCAACACCAGAAGGGGGCUGCCAGCCCAGUCCUCUGUUCUGAAUCGAGUCACAUGACGGCAACGGUGUCAUCCUUUGAGCACGCCCUCACGCCCACGAAUCUUCAGCCUAUCUGGAAGAACCUUGGUUUCUAGUUGCUUGGCUUUUUUCAUAAAUGAGUCUCUCUGACGCUGAGAACGCUGGGAACUCAGAAAUGCAAUCAGUGGGGAACCUUUUCCAUGUGGUCACAGCUUCCCAGUGAGUUCAUCUUGAAACCGGAAGUGAGCAAGAGACAAUUUGGUUAGUAGCAGAGAUGCACAAUUCAGGCUCCUCUCUCCAGGAGCUCUAGAGUAAUGAGAAUGGUUAAGUGUGUGCCUCCUGGGGUGGGCCCGAUUGGAGAGGACUCAGGGACUACAGUAUAUGCACUUGUGUGUCAGGCAGCCCAGAGACCGAGCCUGCUGCUUGGAUGAUGAGGGACCAUGGACACAGCUUCUCCGAUGAAGUCAUGCCAGAGAUAGGACUUGAAGGAUGGAUGUUGGCAAGACAGGAGAGAAGGAUACUCCUGGCAGAGACAACAGCAGGUUCAAAGUGCAAAGGCCUUUGAGAGGAGCAUGGAAACAACAGCUGUAGUUCUGUCUUCAGUGCCAUGGUAAGGAAGAGACAAUGGUUGGUGGCAGCCAGAAGCCACUGAGGGCCAUGGACCAAUGUAAUUCGCAGAUUGGCUCCUUUGGCAGCUCUGUGGGGCUUGGGCUGGAGAUUGAGGACAGCUGGGCUUCUUCAUAAGAAUCCACAUGAAGAGCAGUGAGGCCUGGGCCACAGCAGUAGGGCUGGGUAUGGGGACAGACUUCAGGGUGUGCAAGGGGGUAGGGCUUAGAGCAUGGAUUGGGGGAGGUAGGAAGGCUGAGGAGAAAAGAGACCAGAGGGGAAGUGGAAUGGAUGGCAUUGUCUUUCUCCACCACCAGAAGAACAUCUUGAGUAGGCAUAGACAUGAGCACUGGAGCCAUGGGGUGGCUGGGUCCUGCCUUCAUUUCUAAAGGGGGCUGGCCAAAGGGUAGUGAGGGAGAAGUAGAGCCUGCAGGCUUGUGGUUUCUGAGAUCCUGGUGGGGAUGGACCGUGGCACCGAGGGAAAAGGCAUCUAGGGCAUAGAAGGAGGCAGAGUUUGGUCUUAGAGAAUCAAGAGAAGGCACUAGAUCAAUUCAGGUGCAGAUACCAGAGCAGAAUUCGGUAUCCUUCAUUAACCUGGACAUAGACAGGGAAAACCAUAGGAUUCUGGGAACUCUGAGGGUUGAGGAGGUGAACAGGCUCGUGAUGACAGAUUUAGGCAUUUCAAAGCCUGCUAGAACUGGAAGUGACUGAAGUUUGAUCUGGAUGCGCUGUUUUCUCUCUGAUAAUGGGAAGAGUCCAAGUACCCAGGAACUCCUAUCUUGGCAGCUUGGUAGCAAGGAAGAGAUCUAGAACAGGAGUCUACCAACUACCCCAUGCAGAAAGUCAGACUCUGCUGAAUGGCACCCGCAGUGAAGGGACUGAGAUUGCACCCUACAUAUAGGCUCACAAAUUAGCCCACCCGUAUCAUGGCUGCUAAUAGAGUAGA